UACGUAGGGGGCAAGCGUUGUCCGGAUUUACUGGGCGUAAAGAGCGCGUAGGCGGAAGUUUAAGCGUAGCCUGAAAGCCCCCGGCUCAACCGGGGAGGGUGGCCGCGAACUGGACUUCUUGAGGGCGAUAGAGGAGAGCGGAAUUCCUGGUGUAGCGGUGAAAUGCGUAGAGAUGCGGAGGAACACCGAUGGCGAAGGCAGCCCCCUGGGCUAACACUGACGCUCAGGCACGAAAGCGUGGGGAGCAAACAGG
rnacentral:rRNA from 1 species